rfam:Nicotiana sylvestris Nsyl_contig39010, whole genome shotgun sequence.
AAACCAUGGUUGGGAGAUCUUACCAAAUAUAAUUUGAAACGAUCCCAUGCCUCAUAUAGAUGUUCUCCUGGUACUUGCUUGAAAAAGAAGAUUUUAUCUUUGAGCUC